UUUGUUUUAAAUGUGUUUAAUUCCAAUUGAAAGUUAUCCAAAACCUACUACUUCUACUGAGUGUUUACAUCCUUGUGUAUGAUUGGAAGUGAAACAUAUCAAAUGGUUCAUGUUUAAUGUAUUGAGUAAUCUUGUAAGCGAAGCAAGCUGUCAAGCCCAAACAUCCAUGGAUUGCCCUGUUAGCAACCUAUGAUCUUAGCAUUCCAUCAUGCUAUCGUAUUGCUCAUUGAGAGAUUUAGCUCGUGAAAUUUACAACGCAAAGGAUGUUGACACUGGGGGAUGGCCACCAGCGGAGUGAAUCCUUUACAUCAAACACCACUGUAUCAUCUUACCAUCUAGCCCAGUCAUCAUCUUGAGUCAGUUUCCAUCUGAUGAAUGCAGCAUAUCCCCAUGUUUUGUUGCCAAUGAUGAACCACCACCAGCCAUCAUACUGAGAUUGACAUCAAAACCAAUCCCUUUUGGACUGCCAAGCCUUUACUUUCUUGAGCGAAAUUGCUGGCUUUACAAUUUUUGUAGUCCUCCGACAACAGCCAACUGCCACGGCAAGCUGUUUUCAAGUUUUACUCCGUCUUCGUUUCGCCCGUCGCCGCGUCUUCGCCUUGCCCGUCUUCGCCUCGCCCGUCGCCGCGUCUUCGCCUCGCCCGUCGCCGCGUCUUCGCCUCGCCCGUCGCCCCGUCUUCGCCUCGCCCGUCGCCCCGUAUUCG